GACUGCUAUGCUCUUGCCUCUUGCUAGUUUCCAAGAACCAUGGAGAUUUUGAGUCGUCCCACUUCCCCUUCCCAAUGGGACGCCGUACAGAGCCUCACAUCAUCCUACCAGUGUUUACCUGACGUUGACCCACCAGAGAGUCUACGCAUUCUCAGUUGCCCGGGACUCCCAGGUUGAAGAUCAUGAGCAUGCCCUGAUGAGCCAAGGCAUGCAACCACAGGGGAACCUAAGUGCUUGGACUGAGGAGUGGGGACUGAAAUAAGAAGCGGACACUGCAGGGCAGGAUCAGGAUCCAAUCAGAUCGAGCCCUGGCAUCACCUCAUGGCAGGAUCUAGUCAGAUCGUGGCUUUUGACAUCACUUCAUUGUGAAAUCCAAUCAGAUCACACCUUAUUACCCUAUCCUUAUAAAACCGGACCUAGCCCCCAGCUCGAGGAGGCACUGCUUUGGGAGUUAUCCCAGGUGUUCUUGUUACUAGUUGCAAGGAAUAAAAUCCUCUUGCUAAAUCCUCCUUGGUUGUGCAGAUGUUGGCAUGGAUGUGGAGAGAAGGGAACACUUACGCUUUGUUGGUGAGGAUGUAAAUUAGCUCAACUCUGUGAUAAACAGUAUGGAGAGUUUUCAAAGAACUAAAAAUAGAACUUCUACUCAACCCAGCAAUCCUAUGAGUGCAUGAGUGGGUAUCUACCCAAAGGAA
rnacentral:lncRNA from 1 species